AGCCAAUUUGUACUUUCCAAACCCUUUUUAGCAAUAGUUCCCUUAGAAAGUCAUCUUUUGUCCGGUGUAAAAGCUCUGCUACCUUCUCCAGAUGCUAUAGUAUUGAUUCCCUCAUGUAAACUUGUUUACCACUUAUCCCUUUCAAUACACAAACCUCUGUAAUCACAAAGAGAAGAAACUGCAACAAGUUCACCCUUGCCCGACAAGGUGAAAUCUUGCCUGACUCUCUUUGUUUUAUCUUUCAAUUAGUAGAUCUGAUGUACUCUCCAGUAUAUAUUCAAGUUAUUUCUAGUCAUUUGAUGAUCAAAGUUUCCAUUGGCACUCAGAUCUGGUUCAUUUGAUAGUUCUACUGCUAUAAAAGAUUGAACGGGAACUAGACCAAGGGCUUAGUCAGAUCUGGACUUCUAACCUUUGAAGCAUACAAGAUAAUAAUAAAAGUCCUUGAUCUCAAGGCACAGAAAAGAACUUAAUGUAGACUUAACCCAUCUACAACAAUCAUUUGAUAACAAGAAGUCAGAAUACCUUGGGGCACAAGUAAUCGACUUAAACACACUUGUUCUACAUCUGCCAUACUGAGAUGGCAGUGCACGCCUAAGCAC
rnacentral:lncRNA from 1 species